ACCAAGAAUCAGACAUAUAUGG
rnacentral:miRNA from 1 species